rnacentral:rRNA from 1 species
AAACAUGUCUUUUUGAAAAUAAUAAAAAGUCUAAUCUGCCCACUGAAUUUAUUUAAAGGGCUGCAGUAUAUUGACUGUACAAAGGUAGCAUAAUCAAUAGUCUUUUAAUUGAAGACUUGUAUGAAUGAUUUGAUGAAAUAUGAACUGUCUCUUUUUUAAAAAUAAAAUUUAAUUUUUUAGUUAAAAAGCUAAAAUAAUUAUAAAAGACGAGAAGACCCUAUAGAGUUUUAUAGUUACUUAAUUUAAAAAUUUUAUAUAUAAUUUAAAUUUAAAAUUAAUUAAUUAUUUUAUUGGGGUGAUAGAAAAAUUAAAAAAACUUUUUUUAAAAAUUUAACAUUAAUUUAUGAAAUUAUGAUCCAUAAUUUAUGAUUAAAAGAAUCAAUUACCUUAGGGAUAACAGCGUAAUUUUUUUUUUUAGUACAAAUAAGAAAAAGAGUUUGCGACCUCGAUGUUGGAUUAAGAUAAAAUUUAAAUGCAAAAGUUUAAAAUUUUUGAUCUGUUCGAUCAUUAAAAUCUUACAUGAUCU